rnacentral:lncRNA from 1 species
GACACAAUUCCAGACAGAAUUUAGAGCUGGGAGCUGAUGCAGAGCAGGAUUUGGGAACCAGAGAAGGGAAAACCUCAAGGAUCCAACGGCAGAGCAGGAUUUGGAAAGUUAAAAAGGGAAAAUCUCAAGGAGCCGGCGGGCAGCGCCCAUCGGUGCCAGCCCCCGGUGUCACCCGGUGUCACUCGGUGUCACCCGGUGCCAGCCGGUGUCACCGAGCCCCGCGGUCCCCGGCAGGUGGUGCUGCCGGCACCGGGAAUAAAGUCGGGAGAGGAGAAGCGGCCGGAGGUGAGCGGGAUGGGGCGGCUGGAGCGGGGAGGGAGCGGGCAGGGAUAACAAAGAGCUCCGGGAGCCGCGGGGAGGAACCGCGGGGAGGAACCGGCUCCGGGCAGCGCCCGGGGAGGGGAGGAGGGAGCGCCGGGACAGAGCCGGGGCUGCCGGGGCCGCUCCCGGAGCCGAGCCCGGGGCUGAUCCCGAUCCCGGAGCUGAUCCCGGGGCUGAUUCCCGGGGCUGAUCUCGCUCCCGGGGCCGCUCCUGGAGCCGAUCCCGGUCCCGGUGCUGAUCCCGGUGCCGGUCCCAAUCCCGGAGCCGCUCCCGGAGCCUCUCCCGACCCCGGAGCCGCUCCCGGAGCCGCUCCCAGAGCCGCUCCCGAUCCCGGGGCCGCUCCCGGUACCGCUCCCGGAGCCUCUCCCGAUCCCCGUGCCCAUCCCGGUACCGCUCCCACUGCCGGUUCUCGCCCCGCGGAGCAGCAGCAGCAGCAGCAGCGGCUUCAAAGUGAAAUUCCGGAGGAAAUUUAA